UACGGAGGAUGCGAGCGUUAUCCGGAUUUAUUGGGUUUAAAGGGUGCGCAGGCGGAUUUUUAAGUCAGCGGUCAAAUCGUGGGGCUCAACCCCAUCCAGCCGUUGAAACUGGGGAUCUAGAGUGUGCGAGAGGUAUGCGGAAUGCGUGGUGUAGCGGUGAAAUGCAUAGAUACCACGCAGAACUCCGAUUGCGAAGGCAGCAUACCGGUGCACAACUGACGCUCAGGCACGAAAGCGUGGGUAUCGAACAGG
rnacentral:rRNA from 1 species